rnacentral:rRNA from 1 species
GCGGAGGGAUCAUUACCGAGUUAUACAACUCAUCAACCCUGUGAACAUACCUAAAACGUUGCUUCGGCGGGAACAGACGGCCCUGUAACAACGGGCCGCCCCCGCCAGAGGACCCCUAACUCUGUUUUUAUAAUGUUUUUCUGAGUAAACAAGCAAAUAAAUUAAAACUUUCAACAACGGAUCUCUUGGCUCUGGCAUCGAUGAAGAACGCAGCGAAAUGCGAUAAGUAAUGUGAAUUGCAGAAUUCAGUGAAUCAUCGAAUCUUUGAACGCACAUUGCGCCCGCCAGUAUUCUGGCGGGCAUGCCUGUUCGAGCGUCAUUACAACCCUCAGGCCCCCGGGCCUGGCGUUGGGGAUCGGCGGAAGCCCCCUGUGGGCACACGCCGUCCCUCAAAUACAGUGGCGGUCCCGCCGCAGCUUCCAUUGCGUAGUAGCUAACACCUCGCAACUGGAGAGCGGCGCGGCCAUGCCGUAAAACACCCAACUUCUGAAUGUUGACCUCGAAUCAGGUAGGAAUACCCGCUGAACUUAAGCAUAUCAAUAAGCGGAGGA